UACGGAGGGUGCGAGCGUUGUCCGGAAUCACUGGGCGUAAAGGGCGCGUAGGCGGUCUGGUAAGUCGGGGGUGAAAUCCUGCAGCUCAACUGUAGAAGUGCCUUCGAUACUGCCAGUCUGGAGGGAGAUAGGGGUGUGUGGAACUUCCAGUGGAGCGGUGAAAUGCGUUGAUAUUGGAAGGAACGCCGGAGGCGAAAGCGACGCACUGGAUCUCUUCUGACGCUGAGGCGCGAAAGCUAGGGGAGCAAACGGG
rnacentral:rRNA from 1 species